CAGCAUCCAAUUAAACCAACAGUUUCCUUUACUUGUGGGUGUCCAGUGUGCAAUGGCUACAAACAGCAACCUCCUGAGUAGUGCACUCAGCCUGUUGUGUGCAUGGCUUGCCCUAAGGGACCUUGGAGACAGUG
ensembl:snoRNA SNORA70 Small nucleolar RNA SNORA70